rnacentral:ncRNA from 1 species
UCACAGGCGGGGGGCGUUGACACGCGGUCCAUCUUGCAGGCCGCCCGGACCGCAUCGAGCCACUGGCGAGACCGCCCUGCAACCGC